GAUGAACGCUGGCGGCGUGCCUAAUACAUGCAAGUCGAGCGAACAGACGAGGAGCUUGCUCCUCUGACGUUAGCGGCGGACGGGUGAGUAACACGUGGAUAACCUACCUAUAAGACUGGGAUAACUUCGGGAAACCGGAGCUAAUACCGGAUAAUAUAUUGAACCGCAUGGUUCAAUAGUGAAAGACGGUUUUGCUGUCACUUAUAGAUGGAUCCGCGCCGCAUUAGCUAGUUGGUAAGGUAACGGCUUACCAAGGCAACGAUGCGUAGCCGACCUGAGAGGGUGAUCGGCCACACUGGAACUGAGACACGGUCCAGACUCCUACGGGAGGCAGCAAUAGGGAAUCUUCCGCGAUGGGCGAAAGCCUGACGGAGCAACGCAGCGUGAGUGAUGAAGGUCUUCGGAUCGUAAAACUCUGUUAUUAGGGAAGAACAAAUGUGUAAGUAACUAUGCACGUCUUGACGGUACCUAAUCAGAAAGCCACGGCUAACUACGUG
rnacentral:rRNA from 1 species